ensembl:snoRNA LOC120102063 small nucleolar RNA SNORA17
UCUGUAUCUAAAGACAUUGUAGAUGUGGUUGCUAUGUCACAUGUGUGGCAGUAGGUGGCAGAAAGGAGAGUAUGUCUAUGCUCACUGUUCUGACCUAUGAACAUCUAUAUGAUAAGUAGCCUAACAUU